UUUCCGUAGGUGAACCUGCGGAAGGAUCAUUACCGAAUUGUUAACACGAGUUGUUGCUGGUCCUCAAACGGGGGCAUGUGCACGCUCUGUUUACACAUCCACCCACACCUGUGCACCCUCUGUAGUUCUAUGGCGUGGGGGACUCUGUCCUCCUGUUGUGGUUCUACAUUCUUUACACACACUCUGUAACAAAGUCUUAUGGAACGCAUGACGCGUUUAACGCAAUACAAUACAACUUUCAGCAACGGAUCUCUUGGCUCUC
rnacentral:misc_RNA from 1 species